rnacentral:rRNA from 1 species
UAGGGAAUCUUCCGCAAUGGACGCAAGUCUGACGGAGCAACGCCGCGUGAGUGAAGAAGGAUUUCGGUUCGUAAAACUCUGUUGUUAGAGAAGAACAGCGCAUAGAGUAACUGUUAUGCGUGUGACGGUAUCUAACCAGAAAGCCACGGCUAACUACGUGCCAGCAGCCGCGGUAAUACGUAGGUGGCAAGCGUUGUCCGGCUUUAUUGGGCGUAAAGCGAGCGCAGGCGGUCAAUUAAGUCUGAUGUGAAAGCCCCCGGCUCAACCGGGGAGGGUCGUGAGAAACUGGUUGACUUGAGUGCAGAAGAGGAGAGUGGAAUUCCAUGUGUAGCGGUGAAAUACGAAGAUAUGUGGAGGAACACCAGUGGCGAAGGCGACUCUCUGAACUGAAACUGACGCUGAGGCUCGAAAGAGUGGGUGGCAAACAGG